CUGGCUCAGGACGAACGCUGGCGGCGUGCUUAACACAUGCAAGUCGAACGGAAAGGCCUGCAGCUUGCUGCGGGUACUCGAGUGGCGAACGGGUGAGUAACACGUGGGUGAUCUGCCUUGCACUUCGGGAUAAGCUUGGGAAACUGGGUCUAAUACCGGAUAGGACAGCUGUUUAGUGUCAGUUGUGGAAAGUUUUUUCGGUGCAAGAUGAGCUCGCGGCCUAUCAGCUUGUUGGUGGGGUAAUGGCCUACCAAGGCGUCGACGGGUAGCCGGCCUGAGAGGGUGUACGGCCACAUUGGGACUGAGAUACGGCCCAGACUCCUACGGGAGGCAGCAGUGGGGAAUAUUGCACAAUGGGCGGAAGCCUGAUGCAGCGACGCCGCGUGGGGGAUGAAGGCCUUCGGGUUGUAAACUCCUUUCGACAGGGACGAAGCGUAAGUGACGGUACCUGUAUAAGAAGCACCGGCUAACUACGUGCCAGCAGCCGCGGUAAUACGUAGGGUGCGAGCGUUGUCCGGAAUUACUGGGCGUAAAGAGCUCGUAGGUGGUUUGUCGCGUCGUCUGUGAAAUUCCGGGGCUUAACUCCGGGCGUGCAGGCGAUACGGGCUGACUUGAGUGCUGUAGGGGAGACUGGAAUUCCUGGUGUAGCGGUGAAAUGCGCAGAUAUCAGGAGGAACACCGAUGGCGAAGGCAGGUCUCUGGGCAGUAACUGACGCUGAGGAGCGAAAGCAUGGGUAGCGAACAGGAUUAGAUACCCUGGUAGUCCAUGCCGUAAACGGUGGGCGCUAGGUGUAGGGGGCUUCCACGUCUUCUGUGCCGUAGCUAACGCAUUAAGCGCCCCGCCUGGGGAGUACGGCCGCAAGGCUAAAACUCAAAGGAAUUGACGGGGGCCCGCACAAGCGGCGGAGCAUGUGGAUUAAUUCGAUGCAACGCGAAGAACCUUACCUG
rnacentral:rRNA from 1 species